rnacentral:rRNA from 1 species
AAGAAAGUAGACAAGGGCGUACGGGGAAUGCCUAGGCUCUCAGAGGCGAUGAAGGACGUGAUAAGCUGCGAUAAGCUGCGGGGAAGUGCAAAUAACUAUUAAUCCGCAGAUUUCCGAAUGGGACAACCCACUAGGUUGAAGACCUAGUACCAUGCUUGCAUGGGGCAAACCCGGGGAACUGAAACAUCUAAGUACCCGGAGGAGAAGAAAACAAUAGUGAUUCCGCAAGUAGUGGCGAGCGAACGCGGAUUAGCCCAAACCAGUGAUGUUCAGGCAUUGUUGGGGUUGUAGGACUUGCAUAAUCAAUUAAAACAGAAGUAGAAUAUUUUGGAAAGAAUAACCAGAGACGGUGAUAGUCCGGUAUACGUAAUGUUUUAGGCGAGGCGAGUAUCCUGAGUAGCGCGGGACACGAGAAAUCCUGUGUGAAUCUGGCGGGACCAUCCGCUAAGGCUAAAUACUCCUGAGAGACCGAUAGUGAACCAGUACCGUGAGGGAAAGGUGAAAAGCACCCCGAACAGGGGAGUGAAAAAGUACCUGAAACCGUACGCCUACAAGCGGUUGGAGCAGAUUUAUUCUGUGACAGCGUGCCUUUUGCAUAAUGAGCCUACGAGUUACUUCUCACUGGCAAGGUUAAGACUUUAAGGGUCGGAGCCGAAGCGAAAGCGAGUCUGAAUAGGGCGCUAUAGUCAGUGGGAGUAGACGCGAAACCGUGUGAUCUACCCAUGAUCAGGUUGAAGCUGUGGUAACACACAGUGGAGGACCGAACCAGUUGACGUUGAAAAGUCUUUGGAUGAAUUGUGGGUAGGGGUGAAAGGCCAAUCAAACUCGGAAAUAGCUCGUACUCCCCGAAAUGCAUUUAGGUGCAGCCUUAUAUUAGUUUUGCAGAGGUAGAGCUACUGAUAGGACGCGAGGGUUUCACCGCCUAUCAACUCCUGACAAACUCCGAAUGCUGCAAAAUGAUUUAUAGGAGUGAGGGCAUGGGUGCUAAGGUCCAUGUCCGAAAGGGAAAGAACCCGGACCAUCAGCUAAGGUCCCCAAAUGUAUGUUAAGUUGACCAAACGCGGUGCUGCUGCUUAGACAGCUAGGAUGUUGGCUUGGAAGCAGCCAUUCAUUUAAAGAGUGCGUAACAGCUCACUAGUCGAGCGGCGGUGCAUGGAUAAUAAUCGGGCAUAAACAUACUACCGAAGCUAUGGAUAGUACAUUGUACUGUGGUAGGGGAGCAUUCUAAACUGGGUUGAAGCUGAAGACGUGAGUCACAGUGGACUGUUUAGAAAAGCAAAUGUAGGCAUAAGUAACGAUAAAGGGGGUGAGAAACCCCCUCGCCGAAAGACCAAGG